GAGCAGCCUCCCGAUGAACCAUGCCGGGCCAUUCAAUCUCCGAUAAACCAUGCCGGAGCAGCGUCCCGAUGAACCAUGCCGGGCCAUGCCGGAACAACGUCUCCAAUGAAUCAGCAAUGCUGCAUCUCUCUUCUUCAUUCGCCGCUCUUCUAUAAUGAUCUCUCUUUUACUUAAAUCUUCUUCUCCUCAUUUCCUCAUCCUUUGAGAUAUUAUAUUCCAAACUCACUUUCUAUAAUCUGCCCACUCUCGGUCAUCUUCUCCCACUCAUCUAUGUAUCUCUCUAUUUAAUCAUUCUUCAAGUUAUUAUUCCCUAUUCCGUCUUUUUCUCCCAAAUCCUCCCGGUCUCUCUCCUUCAAAUUUUUAAUCUUUAUCUACCUCUCUUCCAUGCUUUACAUCUAUUGCUUUUUUCCACAUCUUCCCCAUUGUCUGCCACACCAACCUUAAACCAAUCACAUCAAGACAAAGUCUUGUCUCCCAUCAUCUUCCUUUUCCUUUGUUUACAAUUUCUUCUUCCUAUGCUUGCCAACUCUCUCUUUCUUAUUGUCCAGACACUGCGUCAUGUUCAUCUUGCUUUUACUAUGUUAUUUUUAGUCUCUCUUUUCCUUCCCUCUGCAUUUGCUUUUGCUUUAUUCAAGUCUCUUCCCAUGUGAUUGCUGCCUUUUUUCUUUUCUUUUUCUUUUGUUAAACAAACCCAAAACUCUCUUUCUCAGUUUCUCUAUUCUCCCAAUUCUCUAUUCUCCUCCUCUCGGCAUGAGGCAACCAUCUUCUUCUCCAACAUUACUCUGCAGCCAUUCCGAUCUUCCUUCUUUUCACACUUCUUCCCUUUUCCUUUGUUACAUUUUCUUUCAACCAACUUGCUAUAACAAGCUGUCUCCCUUUCCUUUCUUGCACUUCAAUCCGAGCUCCAUCCCGUCGUCCGCAGAUUUGAGGGGCCCUUUGGGUUCGUGCGUCUGCGGUACAGUGAAUUUACUCUUCUCUCAAAAUUCAACCUGUUGCACACUACUUCUUCAAUCUCUCUCAUCUUUGGAGUGUGUCACCUCUUCUGCUGCUUCUUCUCUGUUUUCUCUCCAAUCUAGCCAUUGUUGCCGAUAUCUUUACCGAAGUACUUCUCAAGCAUUGCUUUGCAAAUCUUAGUUCCAAGUUCCAAGCUGCUUGCUCCUCAUCACCGCAUCAGCUUGCGGGGGGAUAAUAAGAGUAACUCUCCACCAUCAGACAAAACAUGCAAAAGACAUUUAGGAGCUCAAGACCACAAUUUGUAUUUGGCAUAUCAAUGUUGUCUGCCACGCUUGUCCACGCUUGUUUAGCACAUCUCUAUGCUUUGUAGUCUAUAUAUUUGUUAUCCUUUGUAAUCAAUCAAUAAAUUCAAGCAAGUUCAUUUUUCUUCACUAUCAAGUAUAAGAAUCAAAACAACUGCAAGAAAGAGUCACAGGAUGCUCCGCUCAUCAACUUUCCAGGCAAAAAGCUUCUCGGAAGUGUUUCUUAUUGUUAUGUAAUUUUUUUCUGUGCAAUAUGGUCCUUCAGUUACAUCUUUGGUGUUUACUAAUUGAACAUGUGUUUUCUCAGGAGAUAACUCUAUUACCUCUGAACUGCUAAACAUCAAACCCAAAACAGAGAUAAAUCUGCCAAUUCGCGCAGUUUUAGAUGCUACUUGGUGUGGAAGCCUUGAGAUCCUUGAUAAGGAUUCAGGUUGUCAAUUUUAUGAUGGAUUUGUGGCUCAUCUUCCUGGAAAAGUUUGUCGUAAAGCUCUAGAGCAUACACAACUGAUGCCUAAUGUGCUGCCUUGUACUAUGCUCUCUUGUUGCAAUGUAUGGGAAGAAAUAUUUCAGAACGAAAUCCCCACCAUUGAGGAUAUUGCAGUAUUCUUUUUCCCUGGCAAUUUUGAGAGGUCCAAAGAGCAGUACUUUAGCCUUGUACAAGUUAUGGAGACACAAGAUCUGAUACUGAGGAGUCUUAUAAAGGGCGUCAAUCUAUUGAUUUUAUCUUCUAAGAGGCUGCAUCUGGAAUUCCGUAACGUAUUGUGUGAAAUAUUAUAAAGCUCAAGGGUUAAGUCUCAUACAAAUAAAAGGAAGUAAGAAAGAAGCUAAAACAUUGCUGUUUUCCUUAAAGACUAAAGAACAUUAACCUCACCAUGAAACAUUACUCAUAUUCUCUUUAAUAUUGGCUUGGAUAUGAGGGAAUGAACAAAAGAGGAGCCAGAUUAUAAUAUGGCAUGAAAUUGAUAUGUCUCAUUGUUGAUUUAGGAUUGAAAAUGAAAUCUUUCCUGUGGGGAAUAUAUUGCCCUCUCCAGCUUACCAAUGACUCCCAAGCACACUCAAUGAAGGCUAAUUGCCUCUCCCUGAUGCAGGGGAUGCUGCUCUACCACAACAUGAGUUGAGAAAUUCAUUGACAUCUCAAAGUUCAAUGUACUCCUGCUAUGAUGUUCUGUGAAGAAUUAGAUAGAGAUGUAUCGAUCUGCUGGAAUUAGAAAGGCUAAGUAGUGAUGCAUUGUACUAAUAAAUAUGACUUGCGUAGUGCAGUACGUCGUUUUGAGAAGAUGGGGAGCUUGAUGAGAAAUGUACCAAGUUGGCUAUAUUUCUAGAACUGUUUCCUCUGUCUCCAUGGAUAUUUACGAUUUCACACAUAAAUGGCUGAAUCAAUAUGCACUGUUUCAUGGUUAUAUUCACCGGUUUGGUUCCUAAUA